UGGAUAAUGAUGAUGUCUGAUGGCGUGUGAAUUAUAUACUGUAACUGCUUAGUGACUGGAAGUCAGAGGCUCAA
ensembl:snoRNA SNORD114-1 small nucleolar RNA, C/D box 114-1